rnacentral:tRNA from 1 species
GGCCCCGUAGCUCAACUGGAUAGAGCAGUGGACUUCUAAUCCACCGGUUGCAGGUUCGAGUCCUGCCGGGGUCACCA